rnacentral:misc_RNA from 1 species
AACUUUUAGCAAUGUAUCACUUGGUUCUGGCGUCGAUUAAGAACGCAGCGAAAUGCGAUAAGUAAUGCGAAUUGCAGAAUUCAGUGAGUCAUCGAAUCUUUGAACGCAUAUUGCGCCCUUUGGCAUUCCGAAGGGCAUGCCUGUUCGAGCGUCAUUAUCAACCAUCAAGCACGGCUUGUCAUUGGACUCUUGUCGUUGUAACACGCGAUAGGUCCGAAAGAUAAUGACGGGUGUCGUGUUGGACCCUCGAUGCAACGAGCUCUUUAUAGCACGCAUCGAACGUGGUCUGCCGCCCCGGUCUCCACCUCUAUUUUUCUUCAGGUUGACCUCGGAUCAGGUAGGAAUACCCGCUGAACUUAAGCAUAUCAAUAAGCGGAGGCU